rnacentral:rRNA from 1 species
UACGGAGGGUGCAAGCGUUAUCCGGAUUCACUGGGCUUAAAGGGUGCGUAGGUGGGCUGGUAAGUCAGUGGUGAAAUCUCCAGGCUUAACUUGGAAACUGCCAUUGAUACUAUUAGUCUUGAAUACCGUGGAGGUCAGCGGAAUAUGUCAUGUAGCGGUGAAAUGCUUAGAUAUGACAUAGAACACCAAUUGCGAAGGCAGCUGGCUACACGAAUAUUGACACUGAUGCACGAAAGCGUGGGGAUCAAACAGG